AUUGAACGCUGGCGGCAUGCUUUACACAUGCAAGUCGAACGGUAACAGGUUAAGCUGACGAGUGGCGAACGGGUGAGUAAUGCAUCGGAACGUGCCCGAUCGUGGGGGAUAACGCAGCGAAAGCUGCGCUAAUACCGCAUACGAUCUGAGGAUGAAAGCGGGGGACCGUAAGGCCUCGCGCGAUCGGAGCGGCCGAUGUCAGAUUAGGUAGUUGGUGGGGUAAAGGCCCACCAAGCCGACGAUCUGUAGCUGGUCUGAGAGGACGACCAGCCACACUGGGACUGAGACGCGGCCCAGACUCCUACGGGAGGGAGCAGUGGGGAAUUUUGGACAAUGGGCGAAAGCCUGAUCCAGCAAUGCCGCGUGCAGGAAGAAGGCCUUCGGGUUGUAAACUGCUUUUGUACGGAGCGAAAAGGUCCUUUCUAAUACAAGGGGCUCAUGACGGUACCGUAAGAAUAAGCACCGGCUAACUACGUGCCAGCCGCCGCGGUAAGAC
rnacentral:rRNA from 1 species